rnacentral:lncRNA from 1 species
UAAAUCCUAAGAGAUAUAGAAACGUCGCCUUCUACUGUUCAUCUUCUCCAUCAUCUGAGCCAACCCUAACUCGCCUGGAAACUCAGGCAAGUUCACUCACACACGGGCCCCAUCUUCACCACGUCACCAAAGAUUCUAACGGCUUUUGACAUAUUCCCUCUCCCAUGUGCUAGACACGUUUUGGGUUUUCUUGAGGAUGAAUUCCGAAAAAUGAGGGGCCGUGGAUUGAUUUUGAGUCAAUCCUCUCCUUCCAUCUGUCCGAAUUCGUUCUAUAAGGAUUUUGUUUUCGGAUUUCUUGAAGAGAGGGGGAGAAGCUUUGAGAGGUACUGUAAAUAGGAGGUUAUCUCAGAGAUUCGGGGGUCUUCUGUUUUUUUUUUGAGAGAGAAAUUAAAGAAAAAAUCAAAAGCUAGGGCUUCAAGUUUUUUUUUUUCUGAUUUUCAUCUUCUUUAUUUUCAAAUUCAUAGACGUACACAUAAAAAAUGUUGAGUGUUCUUUCUCUGAUUUGGUUUUGACUACUAUUUUAAAGGUCAAGGUAUAUAGACAUUCAAUCCCUUCUUUUGUAUUGAUUUUUUCUAGUUAAAAAAUGGAAUUCGAUUGAAAGUUGUUGAGUCCGUUGCUGCUCGUGGUUCCAAGUUCGAUUUGUUGCCGGGAUUUGACAUUUGUUGUAAACAAGUUAAAGGUUUUCUUGUUAAUUGAAGAAGAUUUUCUUUGAGGUAUAUUUUCUUAUUUUUGUACUAAGUUCAUGGACUUAAAUCUCAGUCCAUAGUUCUACUCGGUCUCUGCUUUCUCUUUUUUUUUAUUUCUCUUAUGAAUGGUCUGAUUUGUGUGUUUGUCUUGCUUCAUUAGUGGCUCUAUGAUUAAGUCUUGAUCCCUUUUUUUUUUUUUCUGUUAUCUUAGAUUAGCUUGGGUUGGGAUUUUUACAUAAUUUUUUUUAUUGAGGAAAAUUUGCGGAUUUUUUGUAUUAUGAUUAUUGAAUCAUUAGUCCGUCACUAUUCUAUUUUUAAAUUCUGGUUUUGAGCCAUGUUGUUUAUGGAUUUUAGGCUUCUUUGUUUAUAUGAAUGCCAUCACUAUUUAUGGAUUUUUAAAUUCUGGUCUUAAAUUUUAGCAAUUUCUAGUUGUUUCUUUGUGGUGGGGAGGUGAUUGCUUAAUUGUUACAAUAGUUUAGUGGGAAAGUUUGUCAUGUUGAGCGUUGAAAAGGAAGGUUAACCCUAUCUUUCUAGGAUCAGAUUGUUAACAUUAUCCCUACUUUCUUAAACAUUUCGCUCGUUUUCCUCCAAAUCUAAGCAUGUGAUUAGUAUUUUUCUUAAAAUGAUUUGUAUAUUUUCUGUUGGAUUUGAGCAUGGAGGGAUCUGUUUUAUGUGAAUUCAAAAACAGUGUAGUGGAAUCCCAUGGUUUUGAUUGAACAGACUAGUUUGGUUAGUUUCAUUUCUACUUAGACAAUAUUAUGCUCACUCUUUUUUCAGGUUUGGAUCAUAUAUUAAACUCAUCUGAUUUUUCCUUAUUUUCUAUAUUUGAUGCGUACAUGAUACAUAUCUCAUGGAGUCUGUGAAUUGAAUUCGUUUGUUCACGUGCUUCAUAAGUUCAGAAUAUCGUCUAUUUUUAUCUUUAAGGAAUACUGGGUCGUGGGAAUUGGUUCAAUCUUUGAAUCCUGAAGCUACAUCAUUCCAAGUAUAGUAUUUAUGCGUCUAUGGUAUUAGUUAGUUAAGCAUGUAGCAUGAAAGCUUAGGUUAUUCAAAUAAGAGGCAAAUGAAGCAAAAUUCGUUUGGAUGGCGCCGAGGGUGUUGAGUCGAAGUAAAAAAUGAAAUUGGCCUUAAAUGUCUAUUGCUUUAUUUUUGUUACAUUAUCCGCUAGGAGUAUGUUUAGGCCGUUAAUUUUCAAAUAUCGUGGCUUUGCUUUAGAUGCGUUUAAUAUAUCGUAGUGAUUGUGGACACGUUUGCGUGACAUAAUUACGAUUCUUAAAAAUAGAUUGAGGUGUGCCAUUCAUAAUUAAAUCACCUAUGGCCCUCGCAUUAAUAUUAUAACUUAGGUAUAAAGAAUGAAUAUUCGUAGUUUGCUUUAGGCAUGAAUUAAUCUAUCAUCGUGAUUGUGGACACGUUCGCGUGACAUGGUUACGAUUUUUUUUUUAAAAACAAAAUUGGAGUAUGCGUUCGCGCAACUUCGACUAAACAUUCUUAAUAAUAAUAAAGCGUUACUAAUUAUGGACACGUUCGCGUGACAUAAUUUUGACGCGCCAAACAAAUGGGUACACGCGCGUGACCCAUUUAGAGACAAUUUCUUAAUUAAAAGAGGUAAAUGCACAUAGGUUCUGAAAUAAGUAAUUAAAUAAUUUUAAUAAUCCAAGUAUGAUCAAAGCGACCGUGCUAAAACCACGGAAUUCGGUAAUGCCUAAUACCUUCUCCCGGGUUAACAGAAUUCCUUACCCGAAUUUUUGUGUUCCCAGACCGUGAAUAGAGUCAACUUCCUCGAUUCGUGAUUUUAAACCGGUGACUUAGGAUACCAUAAAUUAUCUCAAGUGGCGACUCUGAUUUAAUAUAAAUAAUCCCGUUUCGAUUGUCACUUAAAUUGGAAAAAACUCUCUUUAUACCCUUUCGGGGUAGGGAAAAGGAUGUGUGACACAUGUUGUUAUGUUUUUACGUGAUUUCUUAUCGCUCAGUCUUCAUUUAUCGUUAUUACUCACUGAGUUGGAGUACUCACUUUACUCCCCGCAUCCUGUGUGCAGAUUCAGGAGCUUCAGGUCCUGCUAGCGAGGGUGAUAGCUUCCAGCAGAUUUUCGGAGUUCACUAGGUAGCUGCUCGGCGUUCGCAACCCAGUGUUUCUCCCUCCUAUUUUAUUUCCCUUGUACUAGUUAUGUAAUAGAUUGUGUAAGCUCUUUCAGACUUGUAGACUUAUAUAGAUACUCAUGACUGGUGACACCCUGAUGCCGGGUUGUGUCUAAUCCGCAAAUUGUAUUGUUUCACUAUUUAUUUGGGAUUUAAUCAUGUUAAAGACUUAAAUUGUGAUAUUUUAAUAGCUU